GGGUUGUGAGGUUAAGCGACUAAGCGUACACGGUGGAUGCCCUGGCAGUCAGAGGCGAUGAAGGACGUGCUAAUCUGCGAUAAGCGUCGGUAAGGUGAUAUGAACCGUUAUAACCGGCGAUUUCCGAAUGGGGAAACCCAGUGUGUUUCGACACACUAUCAUUAACUGAAUCCAUAGGUUAAUGAGGCGAACCGGGGGAACUGAAACAUCUAAGUACCCCGAGGAAAAGAAAUCAACCGAGAUUCCCCCAGUAGCGGCGAGCGAACGGGGAGCAGCCCAGAGCCUGAAUCAGUGUGUGUGUUAGUGGAAGCGUCUGGAAAGGCGCGCGAUACAGGGUGACAGCCCCGUACACAAAAAUGCACAUGCUGUGAGCUCGAUGAGUAGGGCGGGACACGUGGUAUCCUGUCUGAAUAUGGGGGGACCAUCCUCCAAGGCUAAAUACUCCUGACUGACCGAUAGUGAACCAGUACCGUGAGGGAAAGGCGAAAAGAACCCCGGCGAGGGGAGUGAAAAAGAACCUGAAACCGUGUACGUACAAGCAGUGGGAGCACGCUUAGGCGUGUGACUGCGUACCUUUUGUAUAAUGGGUCAGCGACUUAUAUUCUGUAGCAAGGUUAACCGAAUAGGGGAGCCGAAGGGAAACCGAGUCUUAACUGGGCGUUAAGUUGCAGGGUAUAGACCCGAAACCCGGUGAUCUAGCCAUGGGCAGGUUGAAGGUUGGGUAACACUAACUGGAGGACCGAACCGACUAAUGUUGAAAAAUUAGCGGAUGACUUGUGGCUGGGGGUGAAAGGCCAAUCAAACCGGGAGAUAGCUGGUUCUCCCCGAAAGCUAUUUAGGUAGCGCCUCGUGAAUUCAUCUCCGGGGGUAGAGCACUGUUUCGGCAAGGGGGUCAUCCCGACUUACCAACCCGAUGCAAACUGCGAAUACCGGAGAAUGUUAUCACGGGAGACACACGGCGGGUGCUAACGUCCGUCGUGAAGAGGGAAACAACCCAGACCGCCAGCUAAGGUCCCAAAGUCAUGGUUAAGUGGGAAACGAUGUGGGAAGGCCCAGACAGCCAGGAUGUUGGCUUAGAAGCAGCCAUCAUUUAAAGAAAGCGUAAUAGCUCACUGGUCGAGUCGGCCUGCGCGGAAGAUGUAACGGGGCUAAACCAUGCACCGAAGCUGCGGCAGCGACGCUGAUGCGUUGUUGGGUAGGGGAGCGUUCUGUAAGCCUGUGAAGGUGUACUGUGAGGUAUGCUGGAGGUAUCAGAAGUGCGAAUGCUGACAUAAGUAACGAUAAAGCGGGUGAAAAGCCCGCUCGCCGGAAGACCAAGGGUUCCUGUCCAACGUUAAUCGGGGCAGGGUGAGUCGACCCCUAAGGCGAGGCCGAAAGGCGUAGUCGAUGGGAAACAGGUUAAUAUUCCUGUACUUGGUGUUACUGCGAAGGGGGGACGGAGAAGGCUAUGUUGGCCGGGCGACGGUUGUCCCGGUUUAAGCGUGUAGGCUGGUUUUCCAGGCAAAUCCGGAAAAUCAAGGCUGAGGCGUGAUGACGAGGCACUACGGUGCUGAAGCAACAAAUGCCCUGCUUCCAGGAAAAGCCUCUAAGCAUCAGGUAACAUCAAAUCGUACCCCAAACCGACACAGGUGGUCAGGUAGAGAAUACCAAGGCGCUUGAGAGAACUCGGGUGAAGGAACUAGGCAAAAUGGUGCCGUAACUUCGGGAGAAGGCACGCUGAUAUGUAGGUGAAGUCCCUCGCGGAUGGAGCUGAAAUCAGUCGAAGAUACCAGCUGGCUGCAACUGUUUAUUAAAAACACAGCACUGUGCAAACACGAAAGUGGACGUAUACGGUGUGACGCCUGCCCGGUGCCGGAAGGUUAAUUGAUGGGGUUAGCCGCAAGGCGAAGCUCUUGAUCGAAGCCCCGGUAAACGGCGGCCGUAACUAUAACGGUCCUAAGGUAGCGAAAUUCCUUGUCGGGUAAGUUCCGACCUGCACGAAUGGCGUAAUGAUGGCCAGGCUGUCUCCACCCGAGACUCAGUGAAAUUGAACUCGCUGUGAAGAUGCAGUGUACCCGCGGCAAGACGGAAAGACCCCGUGAACCUUUACUAUAGCUUGACACUGAACAUUGAGCCUUGAUGUGUAGGAUAGGUGGGAGGCUUUGAAGUGUGGACGCCAGUCUGCAUGGAGCCGACCUUGAAAUACCACCCUUUAAUGUUUGAUGUUCUAACGUUGACCCGUAAUCCGGGUUGCGGACAGUGUCUGGUGGGUAGUUUGACUGGGGCGGUCUCCUCCUAAAGAGUAACGGAGGAGCACGAAGGUUGGCUAAUCCUGGUCGGACAUCAGGAGGUUAGUGCAAUGGCAUAAGCCAGCUUGACUGCGAGCGUGACGGCGCGAGCAGGUGCGAAAGCAGGUCAUAGUGAUCCGGUGGUUCUGAAUGGAAGGGCCAUCGCUCAACGGAUAAAAGGUACUCCGGGGAUAACAGGCUGAUACCGCCCAAGAGUUCAUAUCGACGGCGGUGUUUGGCACCUCGAUGUCGGCUCAUCACAUCCUGGGGCUGAAGUAGGUCCCAAGGGUAUGGCUGUUCGCCAUUUAAAGUGGUACGCGAGCUGGGUUUAGAACGUCGUGAGACAGUUCGGUCCCUAUCUGCCGUGGGCGCUGGAGAACUGAGGGGGGCUGCUCCUAGUACGAGAGGACCGGAGUGGACGCAUCACUGGUGUUCGGGUUGUCAUGCCAAUGGCACUGCCCGGUAGCUAAAUGCGGAAGAGAUAAGUGCUGAAAGCAUCUAAGCACGAAACUUGCCCCGAGAUGAGUUCUCCCUGACUCCUUGAGAGUCCUGAAGGAACGUUGAAGACGACGACGUUGAUAGGCCGGGUGUGUAAGCGCAGCGAUGCGUUGAGCUAACCGGUACUAAUGAACCGUGAGGCUUAACCUUACAACGCCGAAGGUGUUU
rnacentral:rRNA from 1 species